CAUCAUCUGCAGUGAUGUGAGUGUUGGAAUUGCAAGUCUGACACUAAGUCAGAUCCAAAGUCUGUCAUUACAGCUGCUGAUGUAUGGUGCUAGUCCACGAAGAAAUGUAUUAUUCUAAGUAAGCAGAAGAAUCAUAAGCUACAUCAGUCACUGGGAGUCAGGAACAUCAUCUGCAGUGAUGUGAGUGUUGGAAUUGCAAGCAGUGUUUACAGCCAGAACUUCCUUUGUUAGAACCCUCCAACCUGAAAAGGGCAGUCGAUCUGGUUGGCUGACAUACUGAAAGCUGAGCAGCAUCAAAACUACUAAAAUUCCUCUUCAACCAGCCAAGUGAAUGUAUAUUCCCACUUCCUCCACAACCCAAGUUUCCCUCUCUUUUUCCGGGACCAGAAAACCAGCCUGUCAGCAGCGGAGCCCAGCCGUAUCUGCACACUAAAACUAUUCAAAUUAAUAAUAAAACACACCUUAGUUGAGGUUUUCUCCCUAGUACAGCAUUUUCUAGCACAGCUUUCUUUAGCAGCUCGUUUGACACUGGACGCUUGACCUCUGCUACCAUAAUAGCUGUUAAUGGAAACUUCACCUCAUGCAACGAUAAGAUGGAUUUUUGGCAGCUGUGAAAGAUUACGAAGAGUAAGAACAAUCUUAGCUGGAAUCAGAAGAAAAAGAAAGCAUCUGUACCUUGAGAAACACUCAGCUGGUUUUCAUUACACACCAAGCCUAUAUUUAUUACAAGGACUAGCCAAGAGACAGAAAUUGAUAGGUCUCUGCACUCAGAGCAAGGAGGAUAGUGUCGGCUUGAUAAAUUCUUCCUUUCUUCUUGGUUGUAUGAGUACAAGUGACCAGGGCUGUUCAAAACUACUGGGAGUCUGUCUCGCAGACCAUCUUCUGAGAGUGUUCUUCAUGUUUUUCUCCCAGUGUUGCUCCCUCAUCUCUAGCUGUCUUUCCUUUCUAAAAUGGAAAGUGAAGGAGGUGAAGCGCAACGGAGGGGAAAAAAGUUACUUCCUUCUUUUUACAGCAAUUUUACUACAACAGGUGUUCCUGGGGAGGUUUGUUCCCUUGAGACUGUGGGAGACACUAUAGUAGCAUUUUCUACACGCCUCUGCAAUAACCUCUGAAGAAAACAUGGCAUGCAACGUGCCCACCACCAGUUCAGCCCUCUCUUUCAACUGUCUGCUGUGGUUUUUGAACUCUCUGCUCUAGUAUGGUGGAAUUUAAAUCGUUUAAAAUCACUAUUGCUAUCAUUUCUGGAGGUGCCAAAAUUAUAUUCAAAACUUCAGUGGACAUCUAACACCAGCACGCUCUUCAAAUGCCAGAUGAUGGUGGGAUAGAUAUGCAUCCUUGUUUGUAGGAAACAAUGCAGUAUAUAUAAGCAGAAUAUAAGUUAGCGGUGGGCUGGGAAAGAAUUUCCUCUUCUACAACUGCAACCGAGUUCCUCUCUCCUCUCUAGGCAUAUUUAUGUACAGGGAGCGUUAACUUCUGAGUUGAAUUAAUUCCACUUGUCUUCUACCUUCUUAAUGCCGUGACCAGCUAUCAAAGUUGAAAAAAUUUUAGCCUUGCACUCAUAUACAAGAAUUUAAACCUGAAAACUUUAUUUGAUUAAUGGAUCCACGUUAAAAACACUGCAAGUUACUGAACCCGCUCCACAAAAGUUUUUACAUAGCAUGAGCACCGAGUGCAGUAAAAGGUGACUCCAAAUACUCAGUUUUCCAAUCAGUGUGAUGGUUUUCCUUUACAGUUUUUCUGACAUUUUCACAAGAAGUGGUUUCUACAAAUGAUGAACAAUUUAAACACAGGUCUUCCAAAGCGCCCAAUUCCUAUUAAGAUGUCUUACUCCCUUUGAUCUGUCUUUGAGGAUCUGGACCCUUGGCUCCUGAGAUUUUCUGGCGGCAGUCUCAUCAGACUUUUCAGACAGAGAUAUACUGAGGAAGUUAUAUCUACUGGAACUGGAGCUACUUCAGAGAAGUAGCUGUACAAGGGAUGACUGCUGGUACUGUUCUUAAAAUCUCUAAAAAGAAGGAAAUUCUUCACAGACUUCAAAGAUAUGUGUUUUUUAAAUGGGACACCAUUUUGCUCUUUUGCACCCUUCAAAACUGUGGUUGGAAUUUAAAGGGAGUACUUUUAUUUUCCCAUCUAUGAAAGCAGUUAGUGUGUUUUUAGAAUACAAGAUAAAAAGCUUUGCUGGGGUUUUUAAAGAACUAUGUCCCUGUGGACCAGCUGUAGAGUAGAAUUGUUGCAUUGCAGUUGGAUUCCAUCCAUGGAAUAGCCUGUUGGUAAAAGGAACCUUACAUUUUAUGUCAAAGUGUCUCUGCAUUCUUUACAUUCUGCUGGGAAACUAUGUUUAGUAGUUGUUUGUAUAUCACAAUGUAAGAAAUGGUGUCGUAUGAAGUUGUAACAUAAGAAAAAAGCAUUGUCCAGGAAAUGCAGUCCUUACUAAAUCGUUAAACAUUAGGUUGUUUAUGGGAUUUAAGGUCUAUAUUUGGAUGAAGCUUAUCCUACAAGCAGAAAGCUGUGGUAUUGCUUUUGUUCGAGGUGCGUUUUGCAUAUUUUUAAUUCCCUAAACUGUGUUAUUUUAAGGUAUUUAAUGAAGUUUAUUCUUGAAGGCAAGAGACAAGCACAUUUUAGAGGCUGCAUUUUCUUCACUAAGGAAAAAUUAAAAAGGUAUGAACUGCCAUUGGAGGUUCCUCUUCCUAACCUGCCUUUCUUCAAACCUUCCCUAAGAAAGUCUAGACCUAGAAGCAGUUUGAAAGAUAAACUCAUCCUUAAAACCAAAGGUAUGUCACUACCAGGGCCAGUGCUAUAACUUUUGAUGUAACAGCCUUGUGCAUUGUUCCAAAGAAGUUAUGUCUACCCUGUGGCACCAAGACUGCUUUUCUUCAUCUUCAUUGUCUCUUGUUCAUUAAUGACAAGCCACGCAGAGACCAAGGCUGUAGGCUCACA